AGAGUUUGAUCCUGGCUCAGAUUGAACGCUGGCGGCAGGCCUAACACAUGCAAGUCGAGCGGUUGAGGUAGCUUGCUACCGAUGCAGCGGCGGACGGGUGAGUAAUACAUGGGAAUCUGCCUGGUAGUGGGGGACAACGUUUCGAAAGGAACGCUAAUACCGCAUACGCCCUACGGGGGAAAGGGGGGGAUCUUCGGACCUCUCGCUAUCAGAUGAGCCCAUGUCGGAUUAGCUUGUUGGUGAGGUAAAGGCUCACCAAGGCGACGAUCCGUAACUGGUCUGAGAGGAUGAUCAGUCACACUGGAACUGAGACACGGUCCAGACUCCUACGGGAGGCAGCAGUGGGGAAUAUUGGACAAUGGGCGCAAGCCUGAUCCAGCCAUGCCGCGUGUGUGAAGAAGGCCUUAGGGUUGUAAAGCACUUUCAGUGGGGAGAAAAGUCAUUCACCUAAUACGUGAGUGAAUUGAUGUUACCCACAGAAGAAGCACCGGCUAACUCCGUGCCAGCAGCCGCGGUAAUACGGAGGGUGCAAGCGUUAAUCGGAAUUACUGGGCGUAAAGCGCACGUAGGUGGUUUGUUAAGCUAGCUGUGAAAUCCCCGGGCUCACCUGGGCACUGCAUUAGAGCUGGCAA
rnacentral:rRNA from 1 species